rnacentral:misc_RNA from 1 species
UACGUAGGGCGCAAGCGUUGUCCGGAAUUACUGGGCGUAAAGAGCUCGUAGGCGGCGUGUCGCGUCGGCUGUGAAAGCCCGGGGCUCAACCCCGGAUCUGCAGUCGAUACGGGCAGGCUGGAGUUCGGCAGAGGAGAUCGGAAUUCCUGGUGGAGCGGUGAAAUGCGCAGAUAUCAGGAGGAACACCGCAGGCGAAGGCAGAUCUCUGGGCCGAAACUGACGCUGAGGAGCGAAAGCGUGGGGAGCGAACAGG